GACGAACGCUGGCGGCGUGCUUAACACAUGCAAGUCGAACGAAGUGGCGAACGGGUGAGUAAUACGUGAGUAACCUGCCCUCCUUUUUGGGAUAAGCCUUGGAAACGGGGUCUAAUACCGAAUAAAGGGGGAUGGGCUCGCGGCCUAUCAGCUGGUUGGUGGGGUGAUGGCCUCCCAAGGCGGUGACGGGUAGCCGGCCUGAGAGGGUGAACGGGCAAAUUGGGACUGGGAAACGGCCCCAGAUCCUACGGGGGGGAGGAGUGGGGGGUAAUGGACAAAGGGCGGAAGCCCGAAUCAGGGACGGCGGGUGGGGGGUGAAGGCUUUCGGGUUGUAAACCUCUUUCGGUAACGAACGGGUAGGUGGAGAAGAAGCGCCGGCUAACUACGUGCCAGCAGCCGCGGUAAUAC
rnacentral:rRNA from 1 species